rnacentral:rRNA from 1 species
UACGGAGGUCCCUAGCGUUGUUCGGAAUCACUGGGCGUAAAGCGCACGUAGGCGGAUUGCUAAGUCAGGGGUGAAAUCCUGGAGCUCAACUCCAGAACUGCCUUUGAUACUGGCGAUCUCGAGUCCGGGAGAGGUGAGUGGAACUGCGAGUGUAGAGGUGAAAUUCGUAGAUAUUCGCAAGAACACCAGUGGCGAAGGCGGCUCACUGGCCCGGUACUGACGCUGAGGUGCGAAAGCGUGGGGAGCAAACAGG